GACGAACGCUGGCGGCGUGCUUAACACAUGCAAGUCGAACGUGAUUUUUGUGGAAAUUCUUUCGGGAAUGGAAAUGAAAUGAAAGUGGCGAACGGGUGAGUAACACGUGAGCAACCUACCUUACACAGGGGGAUAGCCGUUGGAAACGACGAUUAAUACCGCAUGAGACCACAGAAUCGCAUGAUAUAGGGGUCAAAGAUUUAUCGGUGUAAGAAGGGCUCGCGUCUGAUUAGCUAGUUGGAAGGGUAAAGGCCUACCAAGGCGACGAUCAGUAGCCGGUCUGAGAGGAUGACCGGCCACAUUGGAACUGAGACACGGUCCAAACUCCUACGGGAGGCAGCAGUGGGGAAUAUUGCACAAUGGGGGGAACACUGACGCAGCGACGCCGCGUGAGCGAAGAAGGUUUUCGAAUCGUAAAGCUCUGUCCUAUGAGAAGAUAAUGACGGUAUCAUAGGAGGAAGCCCCGGCUAAAUACGUG
rnacentral:rRNA from 1 species